rnacentral:rRNA from 1 species
GACGAACGCUGGCGGCGUGCUUAACACAUGCAAGUCGAACGGUAAGGCCCUUCGGGGUACACGAGUGGCGAACGGGUGAGUAACACGUGGGUGAUCUGCCCUGCACUUCGGGAUAAGCCUGGGAAACUGGGUCUAAUACCGGAUAGGACCACUGCCUGCAUGGGUGUGGUGGAAAGCUUUGGCGGUGUGGGAUGGGCCCGCGGCCUAUCAGCUUGUUGGUGGGGUGAUGGCCUACCAAGGCGACGACGGGUAGCCGGCCUGGGAGGGUGACCGGCCACACUGGGACUAAAAUACGGCCCAGACUCCUACGGGAGGCAGCAGUGGGGAAUAUUGCACAAUGGGCGCAAGCCUGAUGCAGCGACGCCGCGUGAGGGAUGACGGCCUUCGGGUUGUAAACCUCUUUCAGCACCGACGAAGCGCAAGUGACGGUAGGUGCAGAAGAAGGACCGGCCAACUACGUGCCAGCCGCCGCAGUAA